AGAAUACUCCCUCCGUUCCAAAAUAGAUGACUCAACUUUGUACUAACUUAGUACAAAGUUGAGUCAUCUAUUUUGGAACGGAGGGAGUACAUU
rnacentral:pre_miRNA from 1 species